GGCAUGCCUUACACAUGCAAGUCGAACGGCAGCGCGGGAGCAUCCUGGCGGCGAGUGGCGAACGGGUGAGUAAUACAUCGGAGCGUGCCCAAUCGUGGGGGAUAACGCAGCGAAAGCUGUGCUAAUACCGCAUACGAUCUACGGAUGAAAGCAGGGGAUCGCAAGACCUUGCGCGAAUGGAGCGGCCGAUGGCAGAUUAGGUAGUUGGUGAGGUAAAGGCUCACCAAGCCUUCGAUCUGUAGCUGGUCUGAGAGGACGACCAGCCACACUGGGACUGAGACACGGCCCAGACUCCUACGGGAGGCAGCAGUGGGGAAUUUUGGACAAUGGGCGAAAGCCUGAUCCAGCCAUGCCGCGUGCAGGAUGAAGGCCUUCGGGUUGUAAACUGCUUUUGUACGGAACGAAACGGCCUUUUCUAAUAAAGAGGGCUAAUGACGGUACCGUAAGAAUAAGCACCGGCUAACUACGUGCCAGCAGCCGCGGUAAUACGUAGGGUGCAAGCGUUAAUCGGAAUUACUGGGCGUAAAGCGUGCGCAGGCGGUUAUGUAAGACAGUUGUGAAAUCCCCGGGCUCAACCUGGGAACUGCAUCUGUGACUGCAUAGCUAGAGUACGGUAGAGGGGGAUGGAAUUCCGCGUGUAGCAGUGAAAUGCGUAGAUAUGCGGAGGAACACCGAUGGCGAAGGCA
rnacentral:rRNA from 1 species